UACGUAGGGGGCUAGCGUUGUCCGGAAUCAUUGGGCGUAAAGCGCGUGUAGGCGGUCCGGUAAGUCCGCUGUGAAAGUCGGGGGCUCAACCCUCGGAUGCCGGUGGAUACUGUCGGGCUUGAGUACGGAAGAGGCGAGUGGAAUUCCUGGUGUAGCGGUGAAAUGCGCAGAUAUCAGGAGGAACACCAAUUGCGAAGGCAGCUCGCUGGGACGUUACUGACGCUGAGGAGCGAAAGCGUGGGGAGCGAACGGG
rnacentral:rRNA from 1 species